UACGAAGGGUGCAAGCGUUACUCGGAAUUACUGGGCGUAAAGCGUGCGUAGGUGGUUCGUUAAGUCUGAUGUGAAAGCCCUGGGCUCAACCUGGGAAUGGCAUUGGAAACUGGCGACCUAGAGUGCGGUAGAGGGUAGUGGAAUUCCCGGUGUAGCAGUGAAAUGCGUAGAGAUCGGGAGGAACAUCCGUGGCGAAGGCGGCUACCUGGACCAGCACUGACACUGAGGCACGAAAGCGUGGGGAGCAAACAGG
rnacentral:rRNA from 1 species